AGAGACUCACCCUGGCACUGCUGCCUGUGGGAAAGUGAGAAAGCCCUAUCCUUGCCACUGUCUCUCCCACCAGCCCUCUGUUGGCAGGCACAGUAAGAGGGCAGACGAGGCUGGUCUCAGCUUCAAGAAGGGCUUUUUCUGUUUCAGCUCCAGCCCCACCACAGGCUCCAGUACUGAGUUUCUUUGCUACUUCCUCACUCAGUCUGAGUCACAGAUGCCUCCCCGCCCCAAGACUCCUUCCUAGUGGGCACACAGUGCUUUGUGGCCUUACGUCUCACUGCUGUCCCUGUAUGCCCAGGGAACCCCAACAUAAAAAGGACACGGACCUGUUGAACUGACUCCAGAGCAGGCCACCAAGAUGAUCAGAGGGACGCCUCUGCUAUGGAGAGUCCAACAUACUGGAAGUGAUGGCCCUGGGAGGAAGCAGAAAGUGCUGCUGGUACCCUGCACCCUGGCACAGCUCUCACAGCUGCCCCAUCCAGGAGGAGCUGGGCUUCCACCACUCGGCUUCGGGUUCUGACUGUGAAAACAGUAGGAGGAGGAUGCCAGCAGGUAUUUCCAAGACUCUCAGACUUAGACUUCAGCCCCUUGUGAGGUCUAUGUGUGUGCUUCCCAGUGACAGGGACAGGAUACUCAGGGAUCUCCUCCAGCCACCCUGCUGCAUGAUGAUAUUACAGGUAUUGAUUAAAAACCAAACAAACUGAAGAGCGGACAGAACUCCACUACUAAAGAAGUA